CCCUGCUGUCAGUGGAGGGUGUGGCGCUCUUCGGUUUUCUCACUCUACGGGCGCUGUUCGUGCGUGUAUUUCACACAUUGAGGUUCCUAAUGCGGGCGAGCAGCCUUCAAAUCGGCUGUGGGCCAAUUUGAUAGUUAAGAAGUUUCCAUCCCGCAUGAUGUGAGAAGAUGGCACAGCAGAGCAACCUCCUCCCCCAUGGUAACCAAGAUUUUGGGGGUUUGGAAGUAGCCAGAAUAGGACCCUUGGAGACACAGAAGAAAUCACACAGAGUAAAUAAAACCAACCCCAGUGUCUGUUCCGCCAUGAAGUCUGAAGAAAACUUGGUUGUAUCAGGAACUAAGAGUAGAAAAUUCCUUAGGGGGAAAGGUGCCUAAGGAAAUGGAGAUGCAUCCAAGGAAACACAUUUGGAAAGUUUAAAUGAUUUUUUUCAUUAUGUCAACAUAAAUCAA